AACGAACGCUGGCGGCAUGCCUAACACAUGCAAGUCGAACGAGAUCUUCGGGUCUAGUGGCGCACGGGUGCGUAACGCGUGGGAAUUUGCCCUCUGGUUCGGAAUAACAGUUGGAAACGACUGCUAAAAGCGGAUGAUGACGACAGUCCAACGAGUUAUCGCCAGAGGAUGAGCCCGCGUCGGAUUAGCUAGUUGGUGUGGUAAAGGCACACCAAGGCGACGAUCCUUAGCCGGUCUGAGAGGAUGAUCAGCCACACUGAGACUGAGACACGGCCCAGACUCGUACGGGAGGCAGCAGUGGGGAAUAUUGGCCAAUGGGCGAAAGCCUGAUCCAGCAAUGCCGCGUGAGUGAUGAAGGCCUUAGGGUUGUAAAGCUCUUUUACCCGGGAUGAUAAUGACAGUACCGGGAGAAUAAGCUCCGGCUAACUCCGUGCCAGCCGCCGCCGUAA
rnacentral:rRNA from 1 species